rnacentral:rRNA from 1 species
AUGUGUAUUGAGGCGAACAGCAAGACGGGGCGUGAAGCAUGCCAUCAGUGGCGAGCUGCUACAACACUAGUCCAUUGUUUUGUGCAAAUUGACUGGUUUGUGCCUGGGGAUAAAGUAGAUGUAGCGGUUCAACAUGUAUUCUAUCAUCAGUUCAUAGAAAGAAUAGAAAGCAGCAAGACGGGGCGUGAAGCAUGCCAUCAGUGGCGAGCUGCUACAACACUAGUCCAUUGUUUUGUGCAAAUGGACUGGUUUGUGCCUGGGGAUAAAGUAGAUGUAGCGGUUCAACAUGUAUUCUAUCAUCGGUUCAUAGAAAGAAUAGAAAUUUGA